CAGUGGACGUCCUACUGCAGAGGGAAUAUGUGGAGGAAGCUCAUCUGACCCAACCAGCCCCCAGGACACAAGGGCCUACAUAAGAGUUGCAGAUGGUGUAAUCUGUCUGGUGGAGCCCUCUGCCAUAACAGACCUCCAUGUAGCUGAGGAUGCAGACGCCUUGUCAGCUGCCACAGAGCG